rnacentral:tRNA from 1 species
GGACCCAUAGCCUAGUCUGGUAACGGUUUCGUCCGUUAACACCGAGAUUAGUAUGGGACAUCCUCGCCUUUGUGUGCUCGGAGUCCCAUUCCAUACGGCGAAGUUAGGUUGGACAAAUAGGGCGACAGCCUUCUAAGCUGUAAGUCGAGGGUUCGAAUCCCUCUGGGUCCG